rfam:Theobroma cacao cultivar Matina 1-6 chromosome 1, whole genome shotgun sequence.
UAGUAACUGUGAUAUUGGCCUGGUUCACUCAGACAUUCAAUGACAGCACUUUCUGAAGAGUAAAGCAUUUUGCUGGUUUUGGUCUGAUUGAGCCGUGCCAAUAUCUUAGAACUCUUU